rnacentral:sRNA from 1 species
UAUGAAACUGGAGCCACAGAACAAACCUCGAGGUCUUUUCUAGUGUUUAGGAUACUUUCCAGGUUUGUCAGGAACUUAUAGAAAAGUAGUUUUACUGCCAACUUUCAGAUUUCUAAUUCUUAUUCUUUAUUUGAAAGGUCUCGUCUACAGAGGACUGGUCUUUCAAUAGCAAGUUUUCACUUCAUCGACAACAUCACGAAGGUGGUAAUAAACAAAUGCUUUAUCAGGCUGGACUUCAUUUCAAACUCCCCCAAAGCACAGAUCCAUUACGCACAUUUAAAGAUACCAUCUACCUUACUCAGGUGAUGCAGGCCCAGUGUGUCAAAACAGAAACUGAAUUCUACCGCCGUAGUAGCAGCGAGAUAGUGGAUCAGCAAGGGCACACGAUGGGGGCACUUUAUUGGCAGUUGAAUGACAUCUGGCAAGCUCCUUCCUGGGCUUCUCUUGAGUACGGAGGAAAGUGGAAAAUGCUUCAUUACUUUGCUCAGAAUUUCUUUGCUCCACUGUUGCCAGUAGGCUUUGAGAAUGAAAACACGUUCUAUAUCUAUG